GCAGGUGCGGCCAUAAAAAAGCAAAAAAAAAAAAAAAGUUUUUAGCUCUGGAAUUGUUUAUUUUUUCUGGGUUCUUCUUUUAUUUGUUUUUAACUCUGUCCUUCACAUAAAGACUUUUUACAGAUGUCUGGUGAAUUCCUGUAGACUAAUAUUGUUUCUGUCAUGCUAGUGUAACACUGAAACUUCACUAAGCCCUCAUUUCACAUUUAUUUUUCUCAAUUUUCAAUGAGACCCUUGGUACUGCCUAUCAGUCAUUUAUUUCUGGCCCAGGUCUCUUUUUUUCCUCAUUUUCUCCAAACUAUUUCGUGACUCCCAACUCCUUUAUCCUACCAUCUCAACACUUUCUUCUCCCUUAGUGCCAGAAAUCUCUGUGUUUUUGUCUUUGCUUUCUUCCUUUUGGUCUCGGUGAAAUAUGUUCUUCCUCUCAGUGGCCAGCCUCACCAAGGACCUGUUCUCCAUAUUCCACCACCUCCCAGGUCUCUUCGACCCUAACUCUUCUAUACCUUUCAUCUGUCCCUGUACUCUUUUUAAGCCUCAGCAAAAUAAGCAUGCUCACCUAUCUUCCUUUUAAAAAAGUUCCCUUUGACUUUUCUCAGGUAAACGUGUGGAGCGAGGAAACCAAACUUACUGUUUCUCUCUUCAUUAUCCUAUUGCAUCUAUACCCUCAACAUGUCACUGAAACUACCCCUGCCAAUUACCAACAUCUCCCAAGCACUGAGUUUCCAGGAGAUUGUCAAAACAUCAAAAAGAUGACUCCCCUUGACUGUUAGCUAGUACGCUCACUGGUGUACUUAAGCAUUUCUUGGUUAUCAAUUUUCCUUUAUGCAAAAUUGAGGACUUUUAUUCCUAGCUUUUAAAAAAUUCUCUUACCAGAUAUUUAUUUUGAGCUAAGAUCCAGAAUGUGAUGUAGGUAUGAAUUUGCUAAGCUUUUAAUCAUUAGAACUCUGUUUUCACCAUUGAAUAUAAAAUAUACAAGCAGCUCUUGGUGAUCUGAGCAACUGGGAGGGAAGAGUGGCGAGGAUAAAAAAAGAGCAAAUUCUUAAAAAUUUCUUCAGAACUUAAUUUGUAAUGUACAUUGUUUGAAUAGGAGAUUUGCCUUCCUGACAAUUUGGUUUAGUCUUAAAACAUGUUUUUGUUCCUUGGCAUAUUCAUGUGGGCACCCAAAGGAGAAAGACUUGUCUAGGAAUGUGCAGAGUGGUAGAGGAAAGCCCGCCCAGCCUUAAAAACCACUCAUAGAUUCUUGGUCACAAAUUAAGAGUUGAUGAGUACCUAUGACUUUAUAAAGAGAUUUUUACCACUUCCGUAGUCCUAAUGGUGACUUUUUACCUAUGCAUCUUAGUUUUUGGUUAGGGAAAAAGGCUAAAAAUAUUGCCCUUUCUAGAUGCAAAAUAGGUUCACUGUAUAAUGACAGUCUUUGUAUAAAUUUGUAACCAAGAAGUUGAUUAUUUUGAAAGGAACAGCACAUGUGGAUAUGUAAUUCUGGUAUACUUGUUAAAAGAUACCCGUCACAUUACCUUUUAGCCACAGAUCCCAGUUUGUGUCCUGUAGCAGGUGAAAACAUCUCACCCUAGUUGUGCUUUUUUAUUUAAACAAUCAAAAUGGAGUAACAGUGCCACACACAUUCUUGUCUUUUAUUCUUAGAGCUGUAGAUAUGUAUAGCAUUGCCAGGAAUGCAUUGCCAAAAAUAUUUUUCUCUAUUUUUAAUGGAUUACUUCAUCUUGAUGUCUAUAUUUAAAAACAGAAAUGGACCAUUUUCAAAAACUGUUUGAUCUGGGCCAUAAGAUUAAGUAAUGUCUAACAAAACAAUCUGAUUCUGAUUACUUUAAUAUAGUGUCAUUAAAACCUUUAGGGAAUUUUGUGGUUGAAACUAGAAGACAUCUUAAUCACAUUCAGUAUUCCUUACAGUUUAGGAUACUUUAAGUUUUGCUGCUAGUAACUUUGUUGAAGAGCUUUGUUUUUCAAUAAACUCUUUAAAAAAAAAAAAGAACUUAACCAUUUGAGUUUUUACUAUGGACAUUGCCACUAUUUUUAUCACAUUCUUCUUGGUGAUAUGAGAAGUAUUUAAAUGUUUUAUCUUUUGCUCAUCUCUAUCUUUUGGAGUAUGUUCCAAGACUAAGGUAUCAUUGAAAAAUAAGUUUAGGCUAUGGGCUCUUGAAUAUAUGGGUCAGUCACUUUCAUAUAACUUGCGUCGUCAGCCAAGCAAAUACUUUUCCAUUUACUUUCAUCUAUGCGUAUUUUACUACUGAUAUGCUCUGCUGUGUGCCAUUGUGUGUCCUGUUUCAAUAUUUGUUUAAAUGACAGGUGACCAUGGUAUUAACACAGUAUUUGAGUAUUUUUGAUGCACAUUUCUCCAUCCAUCACUAAACACUCUAAUACAGAACUUUAUUUAAAGCUUUUUUUUUUUAAAUUUGAUUUCAUCAUAUAGUCAUUUGAGCUUGGGAGUUUCUUCUAAAUGAAAAUAAAAUUAGAGUGUAUAAUUUAAAUUUUGCUGCCAGUGAGAGAACGAGUUAUGCUGUUAAUUAGUAGCAAUAUUAUUCUAGUAGACUGUUCACUAAAAAUUGUUACUGUGAAUUGGAUAUUUUUGGUUUAUUUUGGGUAAUAAUAAAAGUGCCUACAUCAUA